rnacentral:rRNA from 1 species
AUUGAACGCUGGCGGCAUGCUUUACACAUGCAAGUCGAACGGUAACAGGCCGCAAGGUGCUGACGAGUGGCGAACGGGUGAGUAAUGCAUCGGAACGUGCCCAGUCGUGGGGGAUAACGCAGCGAAAGCUGCGCUAAUACCGCAUACGAUCUAUGGAUGAAGGCGGGGGACCGUAAGGCCUCGCGCGAUUGGAGCGGCCGAUGUCAGAUUAGGUAGUUGGUGGGGUAAAGGCUCAACAAGCCAACGAUCUGUAGCUGGUCUGAGAGGACGACCAGCCACACUGGGACUGACACGGCCCAGACUCCUACGGGAGGCAGAAGUGGGGAAUUUUGGACAAUGGGCGCAAGCCUGAUCCAGCAAUGCCGCGUGCAGGAAGAAGGCCUUCGGGUUGUAAACUGCUUUUGUACGGAACGAAACGGUCCUGGUUAAUACCUGGGGCUAAUGACGGUACCGUAAGAAUAAGCACCGGCUAACUACGUGCCAGCCGCCGCCGUAA